GGGCGGAGGGGGGCAUCUGUGAUGUGGUUUUGAGAACAUUUUGGUUUUUCAUUGUGUUUCCGCCUCUGAAUUCCAAUAGUGCCUUCUUUGUACUUCUCUUACAUCAUCUUACUUGGGAAAGAGCAGAGGGUUCAGCCUUGGGAACCCUGGGUUCAGGAGAGGUUUGUGCUUCCUUACUGAUGGUUGUCCUUGGCACAGUCCCUGCGUGGUGCCAGCUCAGGACUCUCCCUGACGAAACAGGGACAAUGAGAAUCUUCUUAUCUCACAGCAUUUUUCUAAGAACCAAGCAAGAUCAUAACUGAGGAAAUUCUUGUCAAGACACAAGGCAACUUGCAAAUAUUGAUUGUUACGGUGGCAUUUCAUUUCAUACUUGGUGUUAGAUAUUCCUGAUAGACUCUUCACACCUUGAAAGCAGAGCCCUACGAUAAUCUUUUUUCUGUAUCAUUCAUGGCAUGGAGAGACAACUUAGCAAAGGAAUGCCUGGCCGUCCUGCUGGAGGGGCUGUUGAGAAUGCAGCGAACACAUUCUGCGUAGGUGACCACGUUGGCAUCUCACCUGAUUAUGAGACCCUAGUGCUGACUGUGAGGAGUGGCAGCCCAGAAACACCUGUGGGAAAGUCAUUGAAGACGAAACAGAACUGGGAGGGAGCAGAAUCUGUCUCAACACUUCCUGCCAAGCUUUCAUCCCCUCUACCCUCUGUGACUCAAUUAUCUCAUAAGGAGCCCAUGGCCAGGGGACUCCUCCCUGAUUCAAUGAUGGUUUCCAUCAUGAGCACCUUGAAAGCGGAGAGGGGCUGGUCCACGAUUGCACCCAGGGUGGAGGAUGGUGGUGGAGCUGCUGUUUCAGGACUACACAUUGUUGUUGCUUAAUAAAGAUACGGGGUAUUGGAAGUUAAAUAAUGCCAGGCUUAUGAGUGUGCCAGGAAAGUAAAAAGUAUAGGUCAUGAAUCAUGAACGUGUUCAUUAAAGACCAGAUGGAAAUUUAGAGAGGUCACAUGAGCGAAGUCCUCUUGACUUGAAGUAGAAUGAGUUUCUGUGUUGCUUUUGACUCUCAAAUGUUUGGCAGGACCCAAAUUUCAAUAGGUGGC
rnacentral:lncRNA from 1 species